UACGUAGGUGGCGAGCGUUGUCCGGAUUUAUUGGGCGUAAAGCGCGCGCAGGCGGUCGCGUAAGUCUGCUGUGAAAUCUCCCUGGCUCAACCGGGAGGGGGCGGCGGAGACUGCGGGACUGGAGGGACCUAGAGGCCGGUGGAAUUCCCGGUGUAGUGGUGAAAUGCGUAGAGAUCGUAAGGAAGACCAGUGGCGAAGGCGGGUCUGCUGGGCAGUAACUGGACGCUGAGGAGCGAAAGCAUGGGGAGCGAACAGG
rnacentral:rRNA from 1 species